UUACCCACUGAGUAUCUUUCUGCUCUGAAAAGUCAGCAUGUAAUGCCCAGCCAUUUAUAGGCAGUCUUUCAGAUUCUGGGAGGACGAACAGAAAUGCCAGGAUUGGCCAGCCAGGAAGAUGCUAAAACCAUCCGAGAAUUUUUAUAGCAAUUCAAAGAGAAAAUAUGUAUCUAAAAAGGUGGCUGUCCCACAUUCCCAGCACCAUUGACUGAAAACACUGAGAUUUCUCUGAUGGAUGGUCUGCAACUUCAUCAAGUAUCAACCAACUGGACAUGUAUAACCUGCUGUUGGGAUUUGGCAAGGCUGCUGAAUUCUGCAUGUUUCCUGCCUUGUUUUUUUUUUAAGUCCUAAUAAUUCUUGUUGGAGCCUUUGGGGUUUCCUGUAUAUAGAUCAUCAUACUAUUUGCAACCUGGAUAAUCUGACGUCUCUUUCUAGCUUGGAUACCUUUUGAUUUUCUUCCCUUUCUGACUGCUGCAGCUAGGACUUUGGUUACAAAUAUUGAGUGAAGUGAUGAAAAGGAUAUGCAUGUCACAUUCCAGAUCUGAGAGAGAAAACUUUCAGCUUAUCUCCAUUGCAUGCAAUGCCACUUGUUAGCUUCUUAUAAAUGCUCUUAAUGUGUUGAGGUACCUGCCUUCUGUGCCUCCCUUACCCAGUGCUGGUGUCAUGACUGGGUGAUAUAUUCCAAGAGGUGCCUUUCUCCAUCACAGGGCUGAUACAGUUUUGUCUUUCAUCCUGAUGAUAUGGUGUAUCACAUUUAUUGAUUUACAUAUGUUAAACCAUAUUUGCAUCUCUCUCAUGAAUCUCACUAUCCUUAAUUAAGACUAUUUUUAGUCAACCUU